GACGAACGCUGGCGGCGUGCUUAACACAUGCAAGUCGAACGGAAAGGCCCCGCUUUUGUGGGGUUCUCGAGUGGCGAACGGGUGAGUAACACGUGAGUAACCUGCCCUUGACUUUGGGAUAACUUCAGGAAACUCGGGCUACUACCGGCUCGGAGCUCCUGCUGCAUGGUGGGGGUUGGAAUGUUUCGGCGGUUGGGGAUGGACUCGCGGCUUAUCAGCUUGUUGGUGGGGUAGUGGCUUACCAAGGCUUUGACGGGUGGCCGGCCUGAGAGGGUGACCGGCCACAUUGGGACUGAGAGACGGCCCAGACUCCUACGGGGGGCAGCAGGGGGGAAUAUGGCACAAUGGGCGGAAGCCUGAUGCAGCAACGCCGCGUGCGGGAUGACGGCCUUCGGGUUGGAAACCGCUUUCGCCUGUGACGAAGCGUGAGUGACGGUAAUGGGUAAAGAAGCACCGGCUAACUACGUG
rnacentral:rRNA from 1 species